rnacentral:rRNA from 1 species
GACGUAGGGGGCGAGCGUUGUCCGGAUUUAUUGGGCGUAAAGCGUGCGUAGGCGGCUGCGCAAGUCGGGUGUGAAACCCCGGGGCUCAACCCCGGAACUGCAUCCGAUACUGCGUGGCUAGAGGUAGGUAGGGGAGAUCGGAAUUCCUGGUGUAGCGGUGAAAUGCGCAGAUAUCAGGAGGAACACCGGUGGCGAAGGCGGAUCUCUGGACCUUACCUGACGCUCAGGCACGAAAGCUAGGGGAGCGAACAGG